rnacentral:rRNA from 1 species
AUUGAACGCUGGCGAAAUGCUUUACACAUGCAAGUCGAACGGCAGCACGGGGGCAACCCUGGUGGCGAGUGGCGAACGGGUGAGUAAUACAUCGGAACGUGCCCAGUCGUGGGGGAUAACGUAGCGAAAGUUACGCUAAUACCGCAUACGAUCUACGGAUGAAAGCGGGGGACCGUAAGGCCUCGCGCGAUUGGAGCGGCCGAUGUCAGAUUAGGUAGUUGGUGAGGUAAAGGCUCACCAAGCCGACGAUCUGUAGCUGGUCUGAGAGGACGACCAGCCACACUGGGACUGAGACACGGACCAGACUCCUACGGGAGGCAGCAGUGGGGAAUUUUGGACAAUGGGCGCAAGCCUGAUCCAGCCAUUCCGCGUGCAGGACGAAGGCCUUCGGGUUGUAAACUGCUUUUGUACGGAACGAAAAGGCUCUGGUUAAUACCUGGGGCUCAUGACGGUACCGUAAGAAUAAGCACCGGCUAACUACGUGCCAGCCGCCGCGGUAA